rnacentral:rRNA from 1 species
GCCUACGGGAGGCAGCAGUGAGGAAUAUUGGGCAAUGCCCGCAAGGGUGACCCAGCAACGCCGCGUGGAGGAUGUAGGUCGUAAGAUUGUAAACUCCUGUUAGAGGGGACGAAUAACACCGAUCGACUAGGUGUCUGACUGUACCCUCAGAGAAGCCCGCAACCAUU